GAACGCUGGCGGCGUGCCUAAGCUUAUGCAAGUCGAACGCGAAAUGCUCCUUCGGGAGCCGAGUAGAGUGGCAGACGGGUGAGUAACGCGUGGGUAACGUGCCCCAAUCCUGGGAAUAACCCUCGGAAACGAGGGCUAAUACCGAACGUGGCCCCCGAUCGGAUGAUCGGUGGCUAAAGGUGGCCUCUUCUAUGCUGCCGGGUUGGGAUCGGCCCGCGUCCCAUUAGCUAGUUGGUGAGGUAACGGCCCACCAAGGCAACGAUGGGUAGCCGGCCUGAGAGGGUGUCCGGCCACACUGGCACUGAGACAAGGGCCAGUCCCCUAUGGGAGGCGCAGGCGGGAAUAGUUCCCAAUGGACGAAAGUCUGAGGACGCGACGCCGCGUGAGCGAAGAAGGCCUUCGGGUUGUAAAGCUCUGUCAGGAGGGAAGAAGGCGCUGGGUGUUAAUAGCACCAAGCGUUGACGGUACUUCCAGAGGAAGCCCCGGCUAAAUACGUGCCAGCAGCCGCGGUAAUACGUAUGGGGCAAGCGUUGUCCGGAUUAACUGGGCGUAAAGGGCACGCAGGCGGUUCGUUUAGUCGAAGGUGAAAUCCCUGGGCUCAACUCAGGAACUGCCUUCGAUACUGGCGAACUAGAGUGGCGUAGAGGAAAGCGGAACUCCUGGUGUAACGGUGGAAUGUGUAGAUAUCAGGAGGAACACCGGUGGCGAAGGCGGCUUUCUGGACGCACACUGACGCUCAGGUGCGAAAGCGUGGUAGCAAACAGGAUUAGAUACCCUGGUAGUCCACGCCGUAAACGAUGGGUACUAGGUGUCGGGGGUAUCGAUCCCCUCGGUGCCGAAGUCAACGCAUUAAGUACCCCGCCUGGGGAGUUAUGGUCGCAAGGCUGAAACUCAAAAGGAAUUGACAGGUCCCCGCACAAGCGGUGGAGCAUGUGGUUUAAUUCGACGCAACGCGAAGAACCUUACCUGGGCUUGACAUGCUUGGGACAGCGCUGGAAACAGCGUCUCUCCUUCGGGAGUCCUUGCACAGGUGCUGCAUGGCUGUCGUCAGCUCGUGUCAUGAGAUGUCGGGUUAAGUCCCUCAACGAGCGCAACCCUCGUUACUAGUUGCCAUC
rnacentral:rRNA from 1 species